GAUGAACGCUGGCGGCGUGCCUAAUACAUGCAAGUCGAGCGAACAGACGAGGAGCUUGUUCCUCUGAUGUUAGCGGCGGACGGGUGAGUAACACGUGGAUAACCUACCUAUAAGACUGGGAUAACUUCGGGAAACCGGAGCUAAUACCGGAUAACAUGUUAAACCGCAUGGUUCAACAGUGAAAGACGGUCUUGCUGUCACUUAUAGAUGGAUCCGCGCCGCAUUAGCUAGUUGGUAAGGUAACGGCUUACCAAGGCAACGAUGCGUAGCCGACCUGAGAGGGUGAUCGGCCACACUGGAACUGAGACACGGUCCAGACUCCUACGGGAGGCAGCAGUAGGGAAUCUUCCGCAAAGGGCGAAAGCCUGACGGAGCAACGCCGCGUGAGUGAAGAAGGUCUUCGGAUCGUAAAACUCUGUUAUUAGGGAAGAACAAAUGUGUAAGUAACUAUGCACGUCUUGACGGUACCUAAUCAGAAAGCCACGGCUAACUACGUG
rnacentral:rRNA from 1 species